GACGAACGCUGGCGGCGUGCUUAACACAUGCAAGUCGAACGGAGAUUCAGCAAUGGAUCUUAGUGGCGAACGGUGAGUAACGCGUAGGCAAUCUGCCUUCUAGAUGGGGACAACAUCCCGAAAGGGGUGCUAAUACCGAAUGUUGUACCGUUUCCGCAUGGAGAUGAUACUAGAGGUGGCCUCUGAAUAUGCUACCGCUAGAAGAUGAGCCUGCGUCUGAUUAGCUAGUUGGAGGGGUAACGGCCCACCAAGGCUUCGAUCAGUAGCCGGUCUGAGAGGAUGAACGGCCACACGGGGACGGAGACACGGCCCAGACUCCUACGGGAGGCAGCAGUGGGGAAUCUUCCGCAAUGGACGAAAGUCUGACGGAGCAACGCCGCGUGAGUGAAGAAGGUUUUCGGAUCGUAAAGCUCUUUCGUUAGGGACGAACGUGCUCUUUGUGAAUAAUGAGGAGUAAUGACGGUACCUAAAUAAGAAGCCACGGCUAACUACGUGCCAGCCGCCGCCGUAA
rnacentral:rRNA from 1 species